UAGCAUGUUGCUAAAGGCUGUGGCUGGUUGUUGCCAUGGGAUCUCUAAUGGCUUGUGAGAACAAAAUUGAAGACUUUGACAGCUCAGAUAAGCACAACACCUGAAGCAGCUAAACAUGACUUUUCUAUAAUG
ensembl:snoRNA